rnacentral:rRNA from 1 species
UACGUAGGGGGCAAGCGUUGUCCGGAAUUAUUGGGCGUAAAGAGCGUGUAGGCGGUCCGGUAAGUCAGCUGUGAAAGUCAAGGGCUCAACCCUUGAAUGCCGGUUGAUACUGUCGGGCUAGAGUCCGGAAGAGGCGAGUGGAAUUCCUGGUGUAGCGGUGAAAUGCGCAGAUAUCAGGAGGAACACCCGUGGCGAAAGCGGCUCUCUGGGCCGGUACUGACGCUGAGACGCGAAAGCGUGGGGAGCAAACAGG